UGGGGGAUUUUGCACAAUGGGCGAAAGCCUGAUGCAGCGACGCCGCGUGGGGGAUGAAGUUCUCCGGGUUGUAAAUCUCUUUUGUUCUUAACAAGGCAUGCUUUUGGGGUGUGUUGAGUGUAGGGGUUGAUUAGCGCCGGCUAACUACGUGCCAGCAGCCGCGGUAAUACGUAGGGCGCGAGCGUUGUCUGGAAUUAUUGGGCGUAAAGGGCUUGUAGGUGGCUGGUUGCGUCUGUCGUGAAAGCUCAUGGCUUAACUGUGGGUUUGCGGUGGGUCAGGGCUGGCUUGAGUGCAGUAGGGGAGGCUGGAAUUCCCGGUGGAGCGGUGGAAUGCGCAGAUAUCAGGAGGAAUACCGGGAGCGAAGGCGGGUCUCUGGGCUGUUACUGACGCUGAGGAGCGAAAGCGUGGGGAGCGAACAGG
rnacentral:rRNA from 1 species